UAAAAUUUUCAGUUUCUUAAACUGAUUUUAGAAGACCAUAAGGCCCUUCUCUACACCGCCGUCAACAGAUGGUUCGGCCGACUCAAAUUCCUGCACCAAAUCCGGCCCGGAUUCAGGCGAGGGAAUCAUAGAUCACCACCGCGGCGUAUCCUUGAAGGUACAAUUUCGCCUUUUCCUUUGUUUUGUUCAAAAAACGAUGAAUAGACAAACAUAAAAACGAAAGAAAAAACAGAUGGGAUUCACCUCUUUCAAGUUUAAUUUCUACUGCUUUUCUUUGUAUUUUUCUCCUUCUCUUAUUGAUCCUUUUUCUUUUUUACAGAUUUUCAAAGGCUUUUAUAGCCCGAAAAAUCGAAAGAAAAAAAACAAAUAUUAAUUAUUCUUGCUGUUUCUUCUCUCUGGGACUCUUUGAGUUCGUUUUGCAGGUAUUUGUGGCGAGAAACGUGUGCGUGGAGGGGAGAUCGGCCCCGAGACGUGCGCCGAUUGGAGUCUUACUGGCGGCGCUGGAGGUAGUGGCUGGUGGGGCGUUUGAAGAGCGGCUAGGGUUUUGUUCUUUUUGUUUUUUGUUUUGCUGUAUUGGCUAUUGGGUUUGGGCCAAUUGACUGGGCCUGAACUGUUUUCUUUUUGUGUUUGGACCCAAGCCGAUUGGGCCUUAUUACAAUGUGAAUGAGAUUUUUUUCCCCCUUUGAUAUGGUCUGAGUUUCAUACAUCACAUGGCUUUCUUAAUUUUUAAUGUUGUUUUGAUUUUAUUUUCAAAUUUUUUGUGAUCAUUUUCUUUGAUUAUAAGAAUUUUAUAUAUCAAUAAAUUUAUCCUUUACUAAUAAAUGAUUGGAAAAGUGGUAGUAAACUUUUUCUUCAAACAUUUAAACUCAAAUUAAAUCUCGAAACUAUUAUUGUUGAAUGACU
rnacentral:lncRNA from 1 species